rnacentral:lncRNA from 1 species
CCUCUUCUAAUCUCCAUUUUUGUAGGAGUCGUACGAUUAGCUUCGAAGGAAGUUGAACGUAUGUAGAGUUUAGACUUGAGUUGACUCGCUUCCAGGAUUUGUUAAAUCCUUGUUAGAGACCUCAACUUAGGGAUAUUGAUUUCAUGGCAACUAUUAGGCUCGAGUCUUAGUCUCCCUAUUAGUUUGUUGUUUCCCCGGUCUCUGGUUAGGAGAAUGUUUUACCCCUGG